rnacentral:rRNA from 1 species
CUCAACCGUGGAGGGACAUUGGAAACUGGGGGGCUUGAGUGCAGGAGAGGGGAGUGGAAUUCCACGUGUAGCGGUGAAAUGCGUAGAGAUGUGGAGGAACACCAGUGGCGAAGGCGGCUCUCUGGCCUGUGACUGACGCUGAGGCGCGAAAGCGUGGGGAGCGAACAGGAUUAGAUACCCUGGUAGUCCACGCCGUAAACGAUGAGUGCUAGGUGUUAGGGGGGAGCACCCCUUAGUUGCUGAAGUCAACACAUUAAGCACUCCGCCUGGGGAGUACGACCGCAAGGUUGAAACUCAAAGGAAUUGACGGGGGCCCGCACAAGCAGUGGAGCAUGUGGUUUAAUUCGAAGCAACGCGAAGAACCUUACCAGGUCUUGACAUCCCUCUGACGGGUUCAGAGAUGGACCGUUCCUUCGGGACAGAGGAGACAGGUGGUGCAUGGUUGUCGUCAGCUCGUGUCGUGAGAUGUUGGGUUAAGUCCCGCAACGAGCGCAACCCUUGACCUUUGUUGCCAGCAUUAAGUUGGGCACUCAGAGGUGACUGCCGGUGACAAACCGGAGGAAGGUGGGGAUGACGUCAAAUCAUCAUGCCCCUGAUGACCUGGGCGACACACGUGCUACAAUGGGCGGUACAGAGGGCAGCGAAGCCGCGAGGCGGAGCGAAUCCCAGAAGGCCGCUCUCAGUUCGGAUUGCAGGCUGCAACUCGCCUGCAUGAAGGAGGAAUUGCUAGUAAUCGCGGAUCAGCAUGCCGCGGUGAAUCCGUUCCCGGGCCUUGUACUCACCGCCCGU